AAAAAUAUGAAUAAAAUUAAGUUUUAGGAGUGUUUACAUAGUUUGUAGCAUGGUUCCUUAAACGCCGGAUCAUCUUCUUGUGCCGGAGGAUCCUGACCGAAUAUAAUCUCACAACUCAUAUCAUCAAAAUCUUCAUAUCAAAAUAUACAUAAUGAGUACACUUCAUGUGAUUGUGAUUCAAUAGUUGUAGCAUUAUUCCUAAAUCAUGAUAUAAAUUGGAGCUAACACUUGUAAAACUCUACUUGCACUGGUGCGCCCCGAGUGGAGGACACGCGGGCCCACCAUACAUGUUUUUGGGCCACUCUAUGUUAGUGCAGGAACUGUACUUCACCUUAAGUUUGGGUAAAUCUUGGUGCACUUUUCCUGUUGUCAAAUCUUUCUUAGUCUAUAUUUAGUUGUGUACUGCGUUUGCUUGCGUCAGGUGUUUAUUUGACCCGUUUAUAAUUAAACGGGUCGAUGAUUCGGGUCAGACCAGAAAAAUGUAUCAAAAGGGUAAAAUACUAAUUGUGUAAAAUCAGAUUAUGUUUUAAUGUAUAGAAUAUCUUAAAUCAUUUGUAAUCACGUUUGACACACUAAUUAUAUUAAAAAGUACAGGAAUAAUUUUUUCGUUGACCCGACCCAAAAUGUAUUGACCCGUUACUCAUGGGUCAAUUCAGUUUGUGUUUUUAUCUUUAACAUGUCAAGCGUUUAAAAUUAAGAAUAUAAAUUAAAAAAAAAAACACGUAGUGAAAACGAUAAAGGGAACGCGGAAAGGGCUAGCCUGACGAGCUGUUUUUUUUUUAAUAAAUAAAAACCUCGAGAGUCAACUAAUAAUCAUAUCUGACAUACUAGCUAUUUAUAAAACGUUUAAAAAAUUAGGAUUUUGCGUCAACCCAAUCCAAGCCGUCUUUACAUGUAUACUUUUUAGCCCGUUACCUGACCCACUCAUUUUUCACGUUUAGUUUACUUACUAGGAACCAUGUUGACGGGGAUCCCGAAACUUUUCUUAAUGAACUCUUGUGUUGGCAUCUUGCAGAGGUUUGUGCACAUGCCGACGCAGUUCCCUUCUUCCAAAAACCUACAAGUUUCCCAAACAUAGCGACUAUAACGCAAUUUUCGCUAGCUAGUGUCCAGAAAUAUCAUAAAAACAUGAAGUUUUUUUAAGGAAAUAUGCAAGAAGAACAAAAAAUAUACCUGCAUUUUGUUAUGUGCACAACAUUCCUCUCUUUUUUGCCUUCAAACUCCAACUCUCUUACCUUCAAAUUACUAUUAGUUAAUUAAUUAAUUAAUUAAUAAUUACUGAAAUACAUAAAUCCACAUUUUAUUUUUUAGGUGUCAAACUAUUUAUUUUUCUAAUUGUUUGAUUAUGUUAUGUUUAUUUAGAAAUAAAAAAUAAGAUUGUAUCUAUCUAUCUUUGUAUCUAUAUAUUGUUCAAAAGGAAACAAUUUGAUGUU
rnacentral:lncRNA from 1 species